rnacentral:rRNA from 1 species
UACGACGGUCCCAAGCGUUAUCCGGAUUUAUUGGGUUUAAAGGGUGCGUAGGCGGGCUAUUAAGUCAGUGGUGAAAGCCCCAAGCUUAACUUGGGAACUGCCAUUGAUACUGAUGGUCUUGAGUACAUUUGAGGUGGGCGGAAUGUGUCAUGUAGCGGUGAAAUGCUUAGAUAUGACACAGAACACCGAUUGCGAAGGCAGCUCACUAAACUGUAACUGACGCUGAGGCACGAAAGCGUGGGGAGCAAACAGG